rnacentral:piRNA from 1 species
GUUACAAACAACUUUCUGAAGACCUGACGC